rnacentral:tRNA from 1 species
CAGGUUAAAUAUUUAGUAAUAAAUUUCAUUUACACUGAAGUAUGUGUCGUGCGAUUCGAUGUGAUCUGA